ensembl:lncRNA
GUGAUGAGCAAUCUCCUUAAGUUGUAGCCAUUUCGGGACACGCGGAUUGAUCCACAGUCCUUCAAGCCUCGCCAUGGCUGUCUUUUCCUUCUUCUGAAUUUUAGGACUAACACAAAGUACGACACUCUUCUAGAAUAACUGCCGGGAGAGCCCAGGGACACAGCAGCUGCUAUGCCGAGAACCGCGUCCCGCCAGCGAGGGCUCCCGGCCUCGCUCGGCCUUCCCCUUCCCCCUCCCCGCAGGUGCGGCAGGGGGAGCUCCCAAGUAGACCGCCUGGGAGAGCAAAGGUCAAGGCCAGGCUUCCGGGGUGGGCGGAAGGUGGGGUCGGGCUGGGACGGACCGAACCUGGCGCCGGGGGCGGACUCGCGCUGGAGAGCAAGGCUUCCGUUAUCUCAUCAAGUCCCAGAUCCAGAGCCCAGGAGAAAAAGACAGAAGGGUGAAGAAAUAAAGAGAUCAAGGGAAGAGAAUCUAGCGAUUACUCCACGAGCAACAUGUUCUGUCUGGAAGAGAAUGGCAGAGAGAAUGCCUUCAUGUAAAACAUGAGCAAUACAUAGGAAGAAUACCUUUAUUAAAUGUUCUCCUUCAUAAUCAUUCUUAUUUUCUUUCUAUUGGAGGUACACAUUUUAAGUUUUUAUUUUAGGUGUAUCAGGAACCAAUAAAUCUGUGGCAGAGUUAACCUAUGCAUGGCAAAAUACAUAAAAUACAUAUUCCUUUGUUCCAUAAUAAAUAAACCUGUAAGCAUAAUAAAGAAUAGUGCAAACUACCGUUGAAAAGUUGUAUAAAUAAAACAACUCAUUAUAAAUCAGGAAUAUUUUGUUUGAAUAAGUUUACGAUACAUAAAUUAUCCCCCCAAAGUUCAUACCUCAUCUUAUUUUGUCUAUUUGAAAGAGCUUUGAAAGUGAAUAAUAUGAACAUCAAAUAAACUUUAAAAAUGUAGAAUUAUUUUAUAUUCAAGUUUUAUGGUCCUUUUCUUUAUAAAGGAGGGUCUGCAUGUUUCAUAUUCACCGUAACAAUCUGAAGACAACAUUGAAAGGCUUUCAAAGUGACAGCACCAUGCACUGUACUAGUAAUAGAAUAUAUCUAUAAACUAUAUAUAAUCUCAUCAACACAAUGCAAAAGAGACAUGCAGGAAGAGUCCUGGUUUUCACAUUACGUUGUUCAUUCAAGUAAGCUUAAAAAUAUAUUUUCCCAUUUUCUUUCCUUUUCUUUUUUUAAAAUAAAUCGUAGAUCAUAAAGGACAGUCUUUCACCAAAAUGUAUAAUAUAAUUAUUUCUUUGGUGUGCUUUGAACUCUUCCAGGAAAAAAAAAAAAAAAGGAUGAUGUCUGAAAAUAAAUUAAUUCAACUGUACAAAUAAUAGUGUUCACAUACAAGUUAUUAACAAUGACAAGACUACAUCAACCACUCAACAGCACACAAAACAAAUUUCUACAAACCCUGGGGAGGGGGUGUCUUCAGGGUCUCUGAGGAUAAAUUAGUGCUCUUUAGUAUAUCUGUAUGAUGUUUAUGAUGGACUACGUUUUGCACACGAGAUGCGUUGUACCACUCGAAAAUAAAUUGACUAGGAGUUAUUGUCCCAGGUCCUUGACCUUUUUUAUCCUAGCUUGACAGCUCUGGCAAAGGUCACACAUUCAUCAGUGUUUGGUGGUAACUAUAAACCUUUUAAAAAUGUUAAUAUGUAUAGCAACUCCCUCCCCUCUUUUAAUGUAAAUCAUACACUGUCAUUUUCAAAUGGGAUAGAGUUCCCGCGUGCUCUGGUGGAAGGAAAUGCAUGAAAAUGCAAUUUCUGGCAUUGAAAAAGAACGACUUUAAAAGGUUGAUACAACAAUUUAAAAGAAGGGUAGGCCUGUUUUUAAAACAACAGCUUUCCCCCAGAAUAGGCAUGUUGCCAACAUCACACCUCCUUACGCUUGCCUGUGAAUUUUGGCAUCCCAAAGAACUUAGGAUCUAAAAUGCAAUCUCUUUAUUACACAGGAAGUUUGGACAGAGUAAAGAGGCAGCAUCUGAGAAUUCAGAUUUUUAAAAAAUGGUAAAAUAAAAAAAAAAAAAAACCCGAUAGAGGAAUCUGAAUUUCUUGUUUUAUAAAAUAGCACAGUUUCACAGUUGUCUCCCGCAGCAGCUUGCUCUUCGCUCCACUGUUGCUUGAACAAUCACAGUAGCACAAUACAUGGGGAUGUACUAGGCUGCUGCAUCUUUCCUUUAAUCAUACAAGCAGGGUACUGAGGAAAUAAUCCUGUAUAAAAAUACCACAUUAAGGUGAGCUCAGUAAUAAAAGAGUAGAAAUUAAAAAUUACAAGUAUUCGAACUCAAAGGGUUUUUACAAAUACGUCUGGACCCCCAGGUACAGUCCCAGAUCUGUUUGUUGGCAAUGCAGCAAGUGUGUGGUUUACAAUCAAGAGGCCUUGGCAGAAUUAGGGCCCAAGCAGGAGGCUGCGAGGCUCCAGAGAAGCCCACUCUGGUGUCAAAGGCUUCCUCGAGGCACUGCAGGAAACGCAGAAGAGGCCUUGUUGCUGUGUUGAGUUCUGACUUAAUGCUCUUUCGCUCACCCUUGUAAAAACUACAUAUAUAUAUAUUGCAUUGGCAGUGUGUUUCUUGAUUUACUAAACUCUCCAUUCAUUUUCCUUGGUACGGUUUGCUCCCAGGCCUGUCCCCCUGGAACAUACAAGUCCAGCUUGGUUGGGUUUUUUGUUUGUUUGUUUGUUUUCUAAGGGGGAAAAAAAGCCCAAAUAUCUUAAUUAAAUUAAUUAAAUGUACAAACACCAUAGGGUUUCAUACUGAAUAAAUAGGGCUAAUUAGACCCGGUGGCAAGGCUGAGUCACGGGUUUGUCUCAGGCUCGCAUUGUCUCAGGUUAGGAUGCGGUCCAAGGGCUCCCCCUUCUUCUUGGACUUAUUAUUAUUAUUACUAAUCAAUUCUAAUGCAUCGUCCGCACAACUUCAGAGUUCCCGUACAUCUCCUCGUCUUCAGACUCUGACGUCGUCCCGUUGCUGGAAGGGGUGUGGAGGUGGCUGGGGGCCCCACUGGCCUGGCAAACAUACCACUCAUUGAGGUUGGUCACCUGAGGGGACAGAGUGCUUGAGCGACUCCUGGUUGGGUCCAGCACAGGGGACAAGGGGGCACCCCCCGGAGUCCCCAGUGAGGAGUAACCCAGGGCUCCUGGCGAAGGCGGCGGGGACUUGCAGUGAAUCUUCAUGUGCUUUCUCAGCGAGCUCGGGUGGGUAUAGGAUUUGUCACAGCCUCGGAUCUUGCAGUAGUAGGGCUUGUCACUGGUGUGGACAUGGGAAUGUUUCUUUCGAUCACUGCUGUUGGCAAACUUCCUGUCACAGCCAUCAAAUUCACAUUUGAAAGGCUUUUCCCCUGCAAUAAAGCAUAGGAGAGGUUAACAAGGUACUUUGCAGAGACCUCUCACAUGAGAGAAAUCCUGGAGCAGCCGUGAGGUUGUACUUUCCCAGCAUCUCGAAGACCGACUCCCGACCUAACUCUUAGGCCUCAUUCCUCUGUGCCAGGAUGCAGCAGGGAAGGGAGACUUCGGGGCUGUAUCUGAUGUCCCCUGGCCUGGAGGCUCUCCUUGGCCCUGGGCUAGUGAGAGGCUGGAUGUCAACCACUGCAGUGCCACAGGGGUUAAGGUGAGAAUGGCUGGAGCAUGGUCUCGGCUGUAACACUGAAAUUUAACUGGGAACCAAAUACUUGCAUCCUUGUUCCCUUUAGGGUCUACAGCCCCAAAAUUCCGGUAGCUUCCCCCCAUCAAGAAAAAUGCUGAUAAAUUACUUCCAAAGCCAGAGCUUGGGUGAAGAGAAGAAAAACACAUGCACUCCAAAGUAAGCAGGGGUGGUGCAGUAAACGUGUAAUGAUGUUUUGUUUCAGAGUGUCCUCCAGGAUUUCACUGAUGGAAAAGGAAAGGAAAUACAACAAAACCCCGUUCUCUUCAGAAAUAAAAGACACCUCUGAAACACAGGAUCCCACGGCUACAUUUUUUACAAGCCUAGCUGGGCAGAGAAUAGGCUGGUGGCCUCUUCGUCCUACCAGCUUUCCUUACAACUUGGUGGGCAGUUAAGAGCCCAGCGAAACAGAACCUUAAUAAAUGUUGAUAAGGACCAUAGGCCUCGUUUACCUGAUGGUACAAGAAAUUUAUUCUAACAUAAUAAAUUGGCUUCAUCGUCAAAAAAGAUCAACUAUUUUCUUUGGGCCCAUUGCCCCUUUAAGCUGCUCUACCCACCCCGGGAACACAAAGCCUUUGAACACAAGGCCCUGAGUCCCGGUGAUGGUGGAACUGCGAAGUAAGACAACUAGAUAUUCAGUCACACUUCACCUUGCUAUUAAAAAGCAAAACCAGGAAGACAGCAGCUAACAGAAGGAACUUUUCCUCUCACCUUAGUGUCUAUGAACUUGAUGUAUUUGAGUCCUUAAUUGAACAUGUCAUCUCAUACAUAUUAUGGUAUAAUAAUAUAGUCCUUUUCUUUAAAUGAUGUUUAAAAAUAAAGGUAAAUUUCUCUAGAUUUCAGCUGCUACUUCGGUGACACACAAGGUAUGGUUUUUCCCUUGGUUUUUGACAAUUUAUUUUAUGAAAAGCUAAACAACUCUUAAAAGAUAUUUUAGUGUACAUAAAUUUUUGUGGUGGCUUUUCUUAUACAAAUAUUUCAGAGUCAUUUUCUCUUUUUAAAUUUCACCAAUAAUACCUGCUUCAGUGCUAGAGUUUGUUAGCAUGUCUGAAAAGUAUUCAGGUGCCUGGCAUAUAACUCACCCUACCUGGAAAUAGUGAUUUAAAACAAAAUUAAGUAUUAUUCAUAUACCUCCUACAUUGUCUAUAAAGAGUGGGGAAAAAUACAACAUAACACAAUGAUCAUCACAACCUUUAAAAUUUUUCUGUAGAUGGGCUGCAACAAAAAUGGUUAUCAAGUUUAUCAAAACAUCAGUUAUUUGUCCUGGUUUCUGUAUUCCACUUUUAAGUUGGAGUCAUAAUAAUUUAAUACAGCAUUCUUCCAAAAGAAUUAUAAUCAG